UACGUAGGGUGCAAGCGUUGUCCGGAAUUAUUGGGCGUAAAGAGCUCGUAGGCGGUUUGUCGCGUCUGCUGUGAAAUCUGGGGGCUCAACCCCCAGCCUGCAGUGGGUACGGGCAGACUAGAGUGCGGUAGGGGAGAUUGGAAUUCCUGGUGUAGCGGUGGAAUGCGCAGAUAGUCAGGAGGAACACCGGUGGCGAAGGCGGGUCUCUGGGCCGAUACUGACGCUGAGGAGCGAAAGCGUGGGGAGCGAACAGG
rnacentral:rRNA from 1 species